rnacentral:rRNA from 1 species
GUCGUACAGGUUUCCGUAGGUGAACCUGCGGAAGGAUCAUUA